rnacentral:ncRNA from 2 species
CAACCACCCAGCUUCUCUCCAGAUGGCAUCCCAUCAUCCGCAGCAUCUCUCAACCUUUAUCUCCUAUCUCCUGCCUCAUCUCCUUCCUAAGUAAAGAACACCUUCCAACUCAACAUAAGGCAGCUACAGGUUGGAGUGCAAUGGCGCAAUCUUGGCUCACGACAACCUCCGCCUCCCGGGUAUAAGUGAUUCUCCUGCCUCGGCCUCCCGAGUAGCUGAGAUUACAGUUUACCAAAGUGCUUGUUACAGUGAAAAACACAGCCCACAGGCACUGAGGUGGGACUACAGAACCUUGCUGGACCACAUCUUUUCAGCACAUUUCUGUGACCCUCUGUUUUUGAUGGAGAAAACAA